rnacentral:rRNA from 1 species
GGUGGUGCAUGGUUGUCGUCAGCUCGUGUCGUGAGAUGUUGGGUUAAGUCCCGCAACGAGCGCAACCCUUGUCUUGUGUUGCCAGCACGUUAUGGUGGGGACUCGCGAGAGACUGCCGGGGUUAACUCGGAGGAAGGUGGGGAUGACGUCAAAUCAUCAUGCCCCUUAUGUCCAGGGCUUCACACAUGCUACAAUGGUCGGUACAGUGGGUUGCUACACCGUGAGGUGGUGCUAAUCCCUUAAAGCCGGUCUCAGUUCGGAUUGGAGUCUGCAACUCGACUCCAUGAAGUCGGAGUCGCUAGUAAUCGCAGAUCAGCAACGCUGCGGUGAAUGCGUUCCCGGGUCUUGUACACACC